GACGAACGCUGGCGGCGUGCCUAAUACAUGCAAGUUGAGCGCUGAAGGUUGGUACUUGUACCAACUGGAUGAGCAGCGAACGGGUGAGUAACGCGUGGGGAAUCUGCCUUUGAGCGGGGGACAACAUUUGGAAACGAAUGCUAAUGCCGCAUAAAAACUUUAAACACAAGUUUUAAGUUUGAAAGAUGCAAUUGCAUCACUCAAAGAUGAUCCCGCGUUGUAUUAGCUAGUUGGUGAGGUAAAGGCUCACCAAGGCGAUGAUACAUAGCCGACCUGAGAGGGUGAUCGGCCACAUUGGGACUGAGACACGGCCCAAACUCCUACGGGAGGCAGCAGUAGGGAAUCUUCGGCAAUGGACGAAAGUCUGACCGAGCAACGCCGCGGGAGUGAAGAAGGUUUUCGGAUCGUAAAACUCUGUUGGUAGAGAAGAACGUUGGUGAGAGUGGAAAGCUCAUCAAGUGACGGUAACUACCCAGAAAGGGACGGCUAACUACGUG
rnacentral:rRNA from 1 species